rnacentral:rRNA from 1 species
GAUGAACGCUAGCGGGAGGCCUAACACAUGCAAGCCGAGCGGUAGAGUUUCUUCGGAAACUUGAGAGCGGCGCACGGGUGCGUAACACGUGUGCAACCUACCUUUAUCUGGGGGAUAGCCUUUCGAAAGGAAGAUUAAUACCCCAUAAUAUAAUGAUUGGCAUCAAUUAUUAUUGAAAACUCCGGUGGAUAGAGAUGGGCACGCGCAAGAUUAGAUAGUUGGUGAGGUAACGGCUCACCAAGUCAAUGAUCUUUAGGGGUCCUGAGAGGGAGAUCCCCCACACUGGUACUGAGACACGGACCAGACUCCUACGGGAGGCAGCAGUGAGGAAUAUUGGACAAUGGGUGAGAGCCUGAUCCAGCCAUCCCGCGUGAAGGAUGACGGUCCUAUGGAUUGUAAACUUCUUUUGUACAGGGAUAAACCUACCCUCGUGAGGGUAGCUGAAGGUACUGUACGAAUAGGCACCGGCUAACUCCGUG